GGUUCUGUGGUGUAGUUGGUUAUCACGUUCGCCUCACACUCAUCGUGAACGCGAAAGGUCCCGAGUUCGAACCUCGGCGGAAUCA